ACGGCUUCUCGAAAUACGGGCGCGUUCGUAGUCGCCACCGUAAUCCUUGUGUGUGUGAUCGUGUGUGUGUUUUAGUGUGUGUGCAACUCCUCCUGUCAAGCUUCGGGGCGUCUCCGGAGCAUUCCACGAGAGAAAUCGUCCCACGAGAUGGAAUCUGGCUUCGUCGAUGAACGUGAAGAUGUACAGAAAAAGACAUUUGCCAAAUGGAUCAACUCACAAUUGAUAAAGAGCACGCAACCACCGAUCACAGACUUAUUUGUCGACCUCCAGGAUGGCAACAGGUUGCUGGCUCUGCUCGAAGUGCUCACGGGCAAACAAUAU